CCCGUCACAUCACGAAAGUGGAUUGUACUAGAAGUCUGCACGCUACCGCAGGAGGGCAGCGGCCCAAGGUAUGAUCAUGAUUGGGGUG
rnacentral:rRNA from 1 species